rnacentral:lncRNA from 1 species
UAAAUAUUUAUUGCUUCUCUGUCCUGGCCAGUAGAGUUUCCACUGUAAAGUCUGCUGCCAGACGUGUUGGAGCUCCCCAGUAGGUUAUUUGUUUCUUUUCUCUUUCUUCCUUAAGAACUUUUAUCUUUGACUUUUGGAAGACUAUUGAAUGCUUUGAAGUAGUCUUUUUUGGGUUAAAUCUGCUUAAUGUUCUAUAACAUUUUUGUAGUUGGAUAUGGCUGUCUUUCUCUAGGUUUGGAAAGUUCUCUGUUAUUAUCCCUUUGAAUAAAUUUUUCUACCCCUGCCUCUUUCUCUACAUCUUCUUUAAAACCAAUAACUCUUAGAUCUGUCUUUGUGAGGCUAUUUUCUAGAUCCUCCCCUGCCUCUUUCUUUACAUCUUCUUUAAAACAAAUAACUCUUAGAUCUGUCUUUGUGAGGCUAUUUUCUAGAUCCUGUCGGCAUGAUUUGUUGUUUUUAUUCUUUUUCUUUUGUCUCUUCUAUGUAUUUUCAAAGAGCCUGUCUUCAAGCUCACUAUUUCUUCUGCUUGAUCCAUUCUGCUAUUACAUGGCUCUAAUGCAUUCUUCAGCAUGCCAAUUGCAUUUUUCAGCUCAGAAUUUCUGCUUAAUUUACUGUAACUAUUUCAAUCUAUUUGUUGAGUUUAGCUGAUAAAAUUUGGAAUUUCCUUACUUUGUUAUCUUAAAUUUCUUUCAGUUUUUUUUUAAAUACAGCUAUUUUGAAUUCUCUGUCUGAAACAUCACAUAUCUCUUUUUCUCCAGGAUUUGUCCCCAGUGCCUUAUUUAGUUCACUUGGUGAGGUCAUGUUUUCCUGGAUGGAGUUGAUGCUAGUAGAUGUUCUUCAGUGUCUGGACAUUAAAAUCUUGGGCAUGCAACACCAUAUGAGAGGUUUAAAAAAUAAAAUUUAAAGAGAGAAAAGUGGUGGGAUUGCUGAAUCAGACAGAGCCAAUAGAUGAUCAGUAAUGGUGGCCAAUCAUCAGCUAGAAAGAAAGUGCUUAGCAGGGCUUGAAAACACCAAAACUCUGAGACCACUGACCUUCAAAAACUUCAACAGCCCUGAGUGAAAAGCCCAAACACAUUUAUCUACCAUUCAAAGACGCUUCAUUGUCUGUUCUCUGUGCAUCUCAGUAGUCUCUUUUUACCACACUGUCUAUAUACUGCAUGAGCCAUUUAUAUGAAACUAUCUGACACUCCAAGGCAUCUUAUACUAUAUAUUCAACCAUGUAUCCCUAGUACCUAGCACAGUCCUGGCAUAUAGUUUGCUACUAAACUUUUACAGAAUGAAGGAAUUAUCUUGUAUCCAGGUUCCAAGUUUUAAGGUGAUUCUUCACUAAAAAAAGUAUUACAGUUCACAAAUAAUCUACUUCCCUUUUUACAAAUGGGAUCAAUUUUAAUCUUAUCUCCUAAUAACAUUACUUUCAUUUACUCUGAUCUAAAUAUACUGUCCUAAGAGAGCAAUAAGAAAGAGAGUUGAAGCUGGAGUUUGAAGAAUUGUACAUGGUCCUGUGAUACCCUACCUUGUUUUAACCUGAGUGACUCUCUCCUAGCAGAGAGAGAGCCGGACAGACUCCAUUUUAGUUUCUUCACGUGCAUCCCCCUUUACCUCCCACCCUUAAUUGCAUAACUAGUGUAAACUAACUCAAAGCAGGUCCAGGAAUGCACUUACUGAUAAGAUAUUGAGGCAAGCUGCACCAGCUGCUCCUGGGUACGCACUCGGUGAAUGUCACGCAAAACCCCUGCAUUUCUCUCUUUGUGAUGGUUUAAGCCCCUGCACCUGGAACUGUUUAUUUGUUUUGUAACUGUUAUUGUAACCAAUUAAUUUUUUAACUAUUUGCCAGCUCUGCUUCUGUAAAACUUGUUUCAGCUAAACUCCCCCCUCCCCUAUUUAGACCACGGCAUAAAAACAAAACCAGCCCCUUCCUCGGGGCCAAGAGAAUUUUGAGCAUUACAUGCCUCUUGGUUGCUGGCUAAUAAAGGACUCCUUAAUUUGUCUCAAAGUGUGGCGUUCCUCUAUAACUCGCUUGGUUACAACAGUCCACACUGUGGCCUGAGGUGCAUCGCCCACCUGAGCUUCAUCUGUUAUGUAUGUCAGGGAAUAUAAGCAGGGUGAGAGUGGCCUCAUCAGAGGACCCCAGAUCUCUGGCUUACCCAUCUGGCAAGCGCACCUCUGUGAGCAAAGACUUCAGAGCCAGAUGACAAGAACGGCCCAAGCAGUCCACCAGGGAAACCUGGGCCCAGUGUACAUCAAUGCAGAGCAUCAAGCAUGGCGUAACAGGUGCACAGUUGCCUACUCCUGUUCAGAGAUGACUGCAUCCCACAUACCGUAAAAUGAGGAAAUGCAGAGAAGCAGAAGUAACUGAAGAAGACAGCAGAAGCAACAAGGAGGGACAACCAGGACCUAGGAGGGCACCAUGCCAGAGACGCCUGGACCCCACGCUAGGCUCAGUGCCUGUUAUACUCUUGGGAUCCAGCACUUUCCCUCUCCAUCACAUGGCAUACUUGCCAUUAUUUGUUGUGUAAAAUAUUGUCCUUAGUUUUCACCUUUCCUAGGAGACACAGGCAGAGCCUGUGACACUACAGCUUCUGGCACACAGUAGGUAGGUGCAUCACAAACAUCUGCUGAGUUCACACACUCUUGCCUUCUCAAACCUUCCUGUCAAGUCUUCAGUGAAAAGGAAUUGCUGAUUGAGCAAGAAUUAAACUUCUAGAGACUCCUGGAUCCACUGAAGUUUGAGACAAGGUGAGAUUUGUUUACUGUCAUAUUCCUAGCUCAUAACAUAUUGUAGUCACUUAAAAAAGUUUGCUGAAUAAGUGAGUAAAUUGAUUCAUACGUCAUACUUAGCUAUAUAUUUUCUGAGUAGAAUUGAUAAAGUUAAUAGUUUAAGUCUAGUAUAAUUUUGCUUUACUCAUUCAACGAACCUGACAAUUCAACUAGGUGCCAGGCACACUGCUGCUGAAGAAAAAGAGGUAUAAGAUAUAAUUUCUGUCUACAAGAAAGCCACAGUCUAAAAAGUAGAAACAUGAACAAAUUGUAACAAUAAAUAGGCUAAAUUCAAAAUCAGAGGAGUUUGUUUCUAUUUUAAACAGCUCUAGUCAGGAAGUGUUAGAGAGUUCUAAACAGGAAAUGUUCCAACACACCAUCUAAGCAUGAAGCAGGAGACACCCAUAAUUGAGUUUGCUGCCACCAACCCCAACAGCAAGAAUUCCAGUCCUGCUGCUGCAAAGUAAGUGUCACUCUGAUUUUAUUGCUGCUGUGUAACCCAGUUUUAGACUCUCUGGUUCUCACUUAAUGUUCUAAAAAAGUAUUAAAGAGAAAAUUUUAUUCUGGUGAUGAGCCCAUCCACUGCAGCCAUCUCAACAUCAUACCAAUUAUAAGCCUAUCAUUUAAAAAGAAAGCUGUUAGUUUAACUUAUUUAUCCAAAUAUCAGUAUUACAUAAACAUAUUUGUCAUCAGACUUUGGACUUAUGGGUUAAAUAGCAUAUAAAUAUGAUUAGAGCCUUAAAGUUUACACUUCUCUGGUUCGCUCAAAUUUUUUUCAAAAUAGCAUAUGCCUUUCUAAACAAUGGUUAGUAUAUUUUUCAAAAUGAACAUUAAAAUGUAUAUUUUCCAAAAACAAAAUACAGCUCCCAUUGGUAAAUGAUGCUAUUGAGACACAACAGACAACUUCUCUUGGGAACCAUUUAAUCAGUGCUCACUUUUGCACUCUUUCCAGAAAUGUCAAUGGCUUUGAAAUAUAGAAGUAUAUUAUACAAAUAAACUUAUACUUAUUCAGUAUUGUGCAAUAUUUAGUAUUUCUUCUAGCCAUCUCUUGCUGAAUAGUAAGCCAUUCCAAAACUUACGGAAUUAUUUAUUGUUUAAUAUUGUUUAUUGUUAUUAUUUGUUUAGUAAUUUUAAUAACGUUAUUUCUCAUGGUUUUGUGGGUUGAUGGGCACUACAAAAGUUCUCUUUUGGAGUCUUUCUUGCAGUUGCGGUUGCUUGGCUGCUGCUGAAGUCACCUGAAAGCUCAAUUAGGCUAAAGAGUCUAGACGGGUCACUUACAUGGUUGGCAGUGCAUAUUGGCUGCUGAGUGUGAUGCCUAUCUGACCUCUCCAUGUUACCUGGAGUGCUCAUAACGUGGUAGUUUGUCCCAAGACACACAGGCAAAUACUAUAAAGCUUCUUAGGACCUAGCCUUGGAGGUCCUAGAACAAGACUUCUGCUCCAUCCUUUUGGAAAAGCAAGUCAUUGUGACCAGCACAGAUUCAAGAAAUGGGAGAUUCGACUCUGCCUGUCAAUGUAAACAGCAGCAUGUGCAUGCAGGGAGGAAAGAAAUCGAGGGCAUCAUCUAGAAGACUAUCAUAUCACACCAUUAUUCCAACUAAUGAACAUUAUGUUUUAGAUGGGUAGUACUAGCUACUCAUCUCUCCCCCAGAAACCCAAGCUAAGCAUGGACAUAUUGAAGAGAAUGUCAGCACCAUUAAAAAAAAACUCUAGAAAAAUCACAUGUGAUGACUGAGGUUAAUUCAGUCUGUCAAUUACAUCAAUAUAAUUGCCUUCUUGUAGCCCUAAGUAUGGUGAAGCAGAAUUGAAUUCUACAAAAGUCUUUCAUCUGUUUUCCUAUGGAAUAAUUAACAAACCCAAUAAAUGUAUAAAUAGCAUGAAGUCCGACUUAUUUUAGAUUUUUACCUCAUAAUUUCAAAGCUUAUAG